GAUUAAAAUACUUAAGGGCACACAAAGGAUGCCUAGGUAGUAAGAGCCGAAGAAGGACGUGGUAAGCUGCGAUAAGCUUAGGUAAGCUGCAAACGAGCGUAGAGCCUAAGAUUUCCGAAUGGAGCAAUCUACUAAGAUGGAGUCUUAGUACGAAAGAGGGAACCGGGUGAACUGAAACAUCUAAGUAACCUGAGGAAAAGAAAGUAAAAACGAUACCCAAAGUAGCGGCGAGCGAAAUGGGUCAAGCCCAAACCUUAAUGCGUGUCAAGGAUACAGCCGUUGCGCAUAAGGGGUAGAGGGACAAGAUGAUGAAGAACUGUAAGCUAUUCAGUAUGAAGUAUUGCCUAACUAAAAUUAUCUGGAAAGGUAGACCGUAGAAGGUGAAAGUCCUGUAUAGGUAAAGCAAUGCGCAUAUAAUCUUGCUCCCAAGUAACAUGGAACACGAGGAAUUCUGUGUGAAUCAGUGAGGACCAUAUCUCAUAAGGCUAAAUACUCU
rnacentral:rRNA from 1 species